AAAGCCCUGCGAUGUUUGUGACUACCGUAAAAAGUUUUGAGCUAACACUUUUAACUCGGGAGCUUGGUCUCUGGGUAUGGCGCAUAAGCCUUGAUUUAAAGGACAUGUAAAGUACUUAGGAGAGCACCCACUAUGGGGAGAGAGUUCAAAACUAGCGGUCUCCACGGCAGAGUGGGGUUUCU
rnacentral:other from 1 species